GAUGAACGCUGGCGGCGUGCCUAAUACAUGCAAGUCGAGCGAACGGACGAGAAGCUUGCUUUUCUGAUGUUAGCGGCGGACGGGUGAGUAACACGUGGAUAACCUACCUAUAAGACUGGGAUAACUUCGGGAAACCGGAGCUAAUACCGGAUAAUAUUUUGAACCGCAUGGUUCAAAAGUGAAAGACGGUCUUGCUGUCACUUAUAGAUGGAUCCGCGCUGCAUUAGCUAGUUGGUACGGUAACGGCUUACCAAGGCAACGAUGCAUAGCCGACCUGAGAGGGUGAUCGGCCACACUGGAACUGAGACACGGUCCAGACUCCUACGGGAGGCAGCAGUAGGGAAUCUUCCGCAAAGGGCGAAAGCCUGACGGAGCAACGCCGCGUGAGUGAUGAAGGUCUUCGGAUCGUAAAACUCUGUUAUUAGGGAAGAACAUAUGUGUAAGUAACUGUGCACAUCUUGACGGUACCUAAUCAGAAAGCCACGGCUAACUACGUG
rnacentral:rRNA from 1 species